GCUUAACUCAGUUGGUUAGAGUGUCUGCCUUACAAGCAGGAUGUCAUAGGUUCGAGUCCUAUAGCGC
rnacentral:tRNA from 2 species